rnacentral:rRNA from 1 species
CUACGGGAGGCAGCAGUGGGGAAUAUUGGACAAUGGGCGAAAGCCUGAUCCAGCCAUGCCGCGUGUGUGAAGAAGGCCUUCGGGUUGUAAAGCACUUUCAGUGGGGAAGAAAGCCUUGGGGCUAAUACCCUCGAGGAAGGACAUCACCCACAGAAGAAGCACCGGCUAACUCCGUGCCAGCAGCCGCGGUAAUACGGAGGGUGCGAGCGUUAAUCGGAAUUACUGGGCGUAAAGCGCGCGUAGGCGGUCUGAUAAGCCGGUUGUGAAAGCCCCGGGCUCAACCUGGGAACGGCAUCCGGAACUGUCAGGCUAGAGGGCAGGAGAGGAAGGUAGAAUUCCCGGUGUAGCGGUGAAAUGCGUAGAGAUCGGGAGGAAUACCAGUGGCGAAGGCGGCCUUCUGGACUGACACUGACGCUGAGGUGCGAAAGCGUGGGUAGCAAACAGGAUUAGAUACCCCGGUAGUC